UACGUAGGGUGCAAGCGUUAAUCGGAAUUACUGGGCGUAAAGCGUGCGCAGGCGGUUUUUUAAGACAGGUGUGAAAUCCCCGGGCUUAACCUGGGAAUGGCAUUUGUGACUGGAAGGCUAGAGUGUGUCAGAGGGGGGUAGAAUUCCACGUGUAGCAGUGAAAUGCGUAGAGAUGUGGAGGAAUACCGAUGGCGAAGGCAGCCCCCUGGGAUAACACUGACGCUCAUGCACGAAAGCGUGGGGAGCAAACAG
rnacentral:rRNA from 1 species